GACGAACGCUGGCGGCGUGCUUAACACAUGCAAGUCGAGCGGAAAGGCCCUUCGGGGUACUCGAGCGGCGAACGGUUGAGUAACACGUGAGUAACCUGCCCCAGACUUUGGGAUAACCCUCGGAAACGGGGGCUAAUACCGGAUACGACACAGCUUCGCAUGGGGUCUGUGUGGAAAGUUUUUCGGUUUGGGAUGGGCUCGCGGCCUAUCAGCUUGUUGGUGGGGUGAUGGCCUACCAAGGCGACGACGGGUAGCCGGCCUGAGAGGGCGACCGGCCACACUGGGACUGAGAGACGGCCCAGACUCCUACGGGAGGCAGCAGUGGGGAAUAGUGCACAAUGGGCGGAAGCCUGAUGCAGCGACGCCGCGUGAGGGAUGACGGCCUUCGGGUUGUAAACCUCUUUCAGCAGGGACGAAGCGUAAGUGACGGUACCUGCAGAAGAAGCGCCGGCCAACUACGUG
rnacentral:rRNA from 1 species